UAAUGGCCUAAGUUUCAACACAUUCUUGGGCAGUGUCUCAAAUGGCGAAGGGCCAACAGUUUUGAUUGUUAAGGAUAAAGAAGACUGCAUAUAUGGAGGUUAUGCUUCUCAGCCUUGGGAAAGGCAUGGCGAUUUCUAUGGAGACAUGAAGUCUUCUCUCUUUCAGCUGUAUCCUAAAGCUUCAAUCUUCAAGCCCACUGGAGCAAACAACAAUAUACAAUGGUGUGCUGCGAAUUUUAGUUCAGAAAACAUCCCAAACGGCAUUGGUUUUGGUGGCCGAGUAAAUCACUUUGGUCUUUUCCUCUCAGCAAGCUUUGAUCUAGGACAUACCUUCACUUGCACCACAUUUGGUAGCCCUUCCCUUUCUAAGACCAGUCGUAUACUUCCAGAAGUUAUAGAAUGCUGGGGAAUUGUUCAAAAAGGAGUACAGCAAGAAAAGCAGGAUGCCCUGAAAGUUACAGUAUUGGAGAGAUUCAAGGAGGAUCGCCACAUGCUCAACAUGGUCGGGCUUGCAAAUUCGAGCGAAUAAUUCUAGUGAGCUUUCUAGCAUCACAGUAUGCAAUUCCACAAAAUGACUUACGGUAAUAGUUGAUCUAGUGCCCAUGUGCAUAAGACAUUGGAUUCUGAUAUGGUAUCUACAGUUAACUGGAGCUAUAUUCGACGGCUUAUGACCUGACAUUAUACGUGAUUGAAUUUGCAAGCCC
rnacentral:misc_RNA from 1 species